UAGGGGUAAAAAAUGGUUCUCGUAGAGCUCGCAAGGAGGUGUCAAAUACGGACUUUGCGCCCCCGAGACAAUAGCAUUUACUGAUGAUGUUGAUGUCUUUGAAGAGUUUCCCCACAGGCUGCCUCCUCCAGCUUCUAGACAAGAUCAUCUCUGACAGUGCAACAACCUGUCCAGCAUUUGACAAAGAUGCGAAGUGAACGAGUGCCAGACUUCGUGGGGAAAUGUCCAGACCGCAGUUCUUCACGUGAGACAGAUCCACAUGUGGGGUAACAUCUCCCAAUUGUCACGCCCAGCUGUUGAGACCAGAGAUGGAUCAAGAGCUCAACUUUCUGCCAAUAUUUCGUCAGAGAACAAGACAGUCGACCUGCUCCAGGGGAUGUGUGGGGAUACAGGAGAGACUGGCAACUACAGACAGCUCCAGGCUGGAUCUGUCUGUCCCCUCUCUCUCUCCUCUAUCCUCAUCUAUCUGUCUCCACCACUGCUUGUAGACAACGAUGAUGAGAUCUGUCAAGUCUUGUCCUAUUAUUUUCAUAACUAGGGAUCGAAACAGAACACGUUGGUGGAAUCAUCCCCAGAAUCGGUCCCAUUUGCAUUGAAGGGUAUUUGCAGAACUCUCGGUAGGUUUUCUCUCCUGAAAUGUAUGAUCUCUGCUCUACUGCCUUUAGUAAACCAAUAUAACCCUUUUGUCUGAA